rnacentral:tRNA from 60 species
GAUGGUGUAGCUCAGUAGGAUAGAGCAGCAGCCUUCUAAGCUGUCGGUCGGUGGUUCGAAUCCACCCACCAUCGCCA